GGCUCCUUGGUCAAGCGGUCAAGACUCCACCCUCUCACGGUGGCAUCAGGAGUUCGAAUCUCCUAGGAGUCACCA
rnacentral:tRNA from 2 species